rnacentral:tRNA from 1 species
GGGGAAGUAGAUCAGUUGGUUAGAUCGCCAUCUUGACAUGGUGGAGGCCAAGGGUUCGAGUCCCUUCUUCCCCACCA